rnacentral:rRNA from 1 species
AACGAACGCUGGCGGCAGGCCUAACACAUGCAAGUCGAACGCCCCGCAAGGGGAGUGGCAGACGGGUGAGUAACGCGUGGGAACCUUCCCAGUGGUACGGAAUAACCCAGGGAAACCUGAGCUAAUACCGUAUACGCCCGAAAGGGGAAAGAUUUAUCGCCAUUGGAUGGGCCCGCGUCGGAUUAGCUAGUUGGUGAGGUAACGGCUCACCAAGGCGACGAUCCGUAGCUGGUCUGAGAGGAUGAUCAGCCACACUGGGACUGAGACACGGCCCAGACUCCUACGGGAGGCAGCAGUGGGGAAUAUUGGACAAUGGGCGCAAGCCUGAUCCAGCCAUGCCGCGUGAGUGAAGAAGGUCUUCGGAUUGUAAAGCUCUUUUGGCGGGGACGAUAAUGACGGUACCCGCAGAAUAAGCCCCGGCUAACUUCGUGCCAGCCGCCGCAGUAAAAC